rnacentral:rRNA from 1 species
AGAGAUGCACUGGGUUUAAAGCGUGCGCAGGCGGUUUUGUAAGACAGAGGUGAAAUCCCCGGGCUCAACCUGGGAACUGCCUUUGUGACUGCAAGGCUGGAGUGCGGCAGAGGGAGAUGGAAUUCCGCGUGUAGCAGUGAAAUGCGUAGAUAUGCGGAGGAACACCGAUGGCGAAGGCAAUCCCCUGGGCCUGCACUGACGCUCAUGCACGAAAGCGUGGGGAGCAAACA